CCCCAAGAAAAAAGAAAUCAUAUGUCUACACAAAGACUUGUACAUGAAUAUUAAUGUCAUCUUUAUUUGUAAUUGCCUAAAGCUGGAAACAACAAGCAAAUGUCCAUCAGCAGAGCAACAUCCAGCCCUCCUCAUCUACCACAGAGCAGAACAGAGAGAUGAGUCCGUGUCAACUCUGGCUGUAUGGAGGCAAAGCAGGCAGUGACUGUGUUGUGAGAACUUUGCCAUUAGGAUUUAGAGCAACGACGCCAGGAAAUGAAGCUGAGGAAACUGAAGCUUAAAAAUGUUAAACAACCUGCCCAAACCAAUCCAGUUGUUGAAGAGGAAAACAAACACACCUCAAAUACUGCUGUCAGCAUGGUCAUUUGGAAACCAGCAUGCCU